AUGCGUAUUUUUCUAAUAAUCCAAUGUUUCAAGUAAGCAUAAAUACAUGGAGAUGAAUUAUGAAGUUAGGUCUUUACAAGAGUAAAUAUAUAGUUAUAUAUUUCUCCAGAAAUAUCUACAUACUUAUAUACUUAACAAAAUAGAUAUUCGGGUUUGUUAUACCCAAGUUGCAUGAUUUUUAGUUAGAGAUAAGUUGAUUGUUGAGCGUUGGAUCUAGAUUGUGUUUUAAAAUUCGCAGCGAAAGGGAAAUGAGUGACUUUGAUGCUAUCGACCGAGAAUUAAAUCUUUUACUUAAAAAAUCAGGCACCUGAGAUAUGGACACACCCAUAGAUAUUUGGCAAAAUAAACAAGGUAAAAUUCAAGAAACCACGGUUCUCACUAGCUCCAGUUUUUGCUAAUUUGCCAACAGAACCACAUAUUUUUUGUCAGACUGUAUCACAAACUUUUUACAUCAAAUGAAUUAUUAAACUACCUUUUCUCAGUUAGGCCUAGGGUGGGAGCUCUCAGCUCAUUUAUCUCUCGUGUUUUUUUGUUUUUGUUUUUUAGAACAACGAUCUGACUUUGUUUAUUCAAUGAACAAAAUAAAAUUGAUCGAAAAAUUAAGAUAACAACAAAUACUUCGGAUAAACCAAAAAUUAUAACAAAAAUCUUUAAAUCCAAGUUCUCUAGCCACGCCGAUCGCAUUUUGAUAUUUCUCCAAAUCUCUGGUGACAAAACAGUAGAAGACCAAACAUGCAUAAGUUGUACUAACCUUGUAGGUUUUACUGAUCCGCCCAUCCCAACGGGUGAGAACUUAAGAUCGUUGAACACGUGCGGUGGCCUGGGCACACCCCUCGCAAGACAGGUUGUCGAACCAUUGAAUCAUAGCCGAACCGAUG
rnacentral:lncRNA from 1 species